GACGUAGGGCGCGAGCGUUGUCCGGAUUUAUUGGGCGUAAAGAGCUCGUAGGCGGCUUGUCGCGUCGACUGUGAAAUCCCGCGGCUCAACCGCGGGUCUGCAGUCGAUACGGGCAGGCUAGAGUUCGGUAGGGGAGACUGGAAUUCCUGGUGUAGCGGUGAAAUGCGCAGAUAUCAGAGGAACACCGAUGGCGAAGGCAGGUCUCUGGGCCGAUACUGACGCUGAGGAGCGAAAGCAUGGGGAGCGAACAGG
rnacentral:rRNA from 1 species